GGCGGCAGGCCUCAAACAUGCAAGUCUAGGGGGUGUAGCAAUACAUCACCGGCGGACGGGUGCGUAACGCGUGGGAAUGUACCUAUUGGUUCGGAACAACUGAGGGAAACUUCAGCUAAUACCGAAUGUGCCCGUAAGGGGAAAGAUUUAUCGCCAAUGGAUCAGCCCGCGUUCGAUUAGCUAGUUGGUGAGGUAAUGGCUCACCAAGGCGACGAUCGAUAGCUGUUCUGAGAGGAAGAUCAGCCACACUGGGACUGAGACACGGCCCAGACUCCUACGGGAGGCAGCAGUUGGGAAUCUUGGACAAUGGGGGAAACCCUGAUCCAGCCAUGCCGCGUGAGUGAUGAAGGCCUUCGGGUUGUAAAACUCUUUCGCGCACGACGAUAAUGACGGUAGUGCGAGAAGAAGCUCUGGCUAACUUCCUGCCAGCAGCCGCGGUAAUACGAAGGGGGCUAGCGUUGUUCGGAAUUACUGGGCGUNAAACGCGCGCAGGCGGCUAUCCAAGUCAGUGGUGAAAGCCCGGA
rnacentral:rRNA from 1 species